UCCCAGCUGGAUAUAGGACGCAUGGCGGGCAGUAAUGAGAGUGCACAGCAUUGUCUGCAGGAGGCAUGCAUUCACAGGCCAUCAUGGAUCACUGUAACCAUGGAAAUGACUGCCACCACGGCGUCGCCAUGCACAGCUGUGUGGAACCCGUGAUCUCUGGUGGGACAAGCCAAAAGUCGCAACAGCAUCAACAAAUCUCAGGUCGAAGAGCAACAUUGCCAUGAUGAUGGUCUACAUCACAUUUUAAUUGUCACCCCCCCUGCAAGUCAUAGGCCCACUCCACAUCUUGCCAGAUGGCUUCACGAUGCACGAUGUUUCGAUGAGCAUAACCGUCCCUCCAUACACCCCAAAAAACGCCCGUCAACAUGAUGUAAUCAAUGUCACGCUGUCUUCCUUCUACUUGCAUGGGCUGGUGACAUUUUAACACACAAAGAAAACUAUUUUGUAUUCUUUUACUAUUCCAUUGCUUUGAAAUGUUUCUCAAUGAUUUCAAAAUAUGCUUUAAAGCCAUGGUUGAGGAAUGUCAAAAGAAAAAGAUGUUUUUUUUUUAAUCGCAGUGCAAAAUGAAUUGAAAAUGGUAAGCCUCGAAGCUGUGACCUUGAGUUGCCUGUGGGCGGCACUUUCAGCAGCGCCCGGGCAAGUUUGCGCGGGUGUAAAGUCGGAGGACCUCUGGGAUCAAGCUGGAGAAAUUUAAAACAACUUUUAAUAGUUUAGUAUGACAAUAUUGUUGCCAGUGAUGCUUUCAGAACAGAAAACACACAAAAAGAAACUCCUCGCUGUCUGAGAAAAAGACUCUCUAUACUUCAUGAUGAUUUUAUUAUUAUUUUUUUUUAUCUUCAUCUAUCGUUGAGUGUAGACAACCUUUGAUGAUAAAAACUGUUUGAGCCGAUGAUUGAAAGCAAAAUCUGUGUGGUUAAAUUCACAA